AUUUCCAACGUUUCUCAAAAGAACUUUUUUUGCAUGAAAUAUUGAUAAUUUUAGCACGUUUUUCUUGAAAUUUGAGUGUUUUCAACGCAAGGAAGGCGUAAUAAUAUAAAUGUAUAGGUACAGAACAGCUAUGGUAUUACGAAUAUAUAGACUGCUGUUUGUAUCAAAUUGUUUUCUUUUUUAUAUUCUGCAAAGAUAAAAACUAUCGAAUUUUUCCAUGAUGUUUACAGAGAAACAUCACAGCUGCCAACCCCCCCCCCCACCCCCAAACGAACAUAUGAC